ensembl:snoRNA U3 Small nucleolar RNA U3
UGAGCGUGAAUCGGGUGUAGAGUAAUGAUUUGUUUCAUAUGCUUUACAUUUUUGAUGAACGUUCAUUAUUGCUAAUAAGCAGUAUGGAGG